UGCCCUGGCAGUCAGAGGCGAUGAAGGACGUGCUAAUCUGCGAUAAGCGUCGGUAAGGUGAUAUGAACCGUUAUAACCGGCGAUUUCCGAAUGGGGAAACCCAGUGUGAUUCGUCACACUAUCAUUAACUGAAUCCAUAGGUUAAUGAGGCGAACCGGGGGAACUGAAACAUCUAAGUACCCCGAGGAAAAGAAAUCAACCGAGAUUCCCCCAGUAGCGGCGAGCGAACGGGGAGGAGCCCAGAGCCUGAAUCAGUGUGUGUGUUAGUGGAAGCGUCUGGAAAGGCGCGCGAUACAGGGUGACAGCCCCGUACACAAAAAUGCACAUAUUGUGAGCUCGAUGAGUAGGGCGGGACACGUGGUAUCCUGUCUGAAUAUGGGGGGACCAUCCUCCAAGGCUAAAUACUCCUGACUGACCGAUAGUGAACCAGUACCGUGAGGGAAAGGCGAAAAGAAC
rnacentral:rRNA from 1 species